AUGAGCUUCAUGGUUCCUCUCACCAUCCUGAUGCUGGCUCUCUCUGGUUUGGAAGCUGUUGUGAUCCUGACCCAGGAGAAGUCUCUCUCUGUGUCUCUUGGAUCAAAUCUGCCUGCGGUGUAUCAUAUAGUUGGAAUAUCACUGAUAUACAAAGACCACUGUUUCAUUGGGCUCUGGUGUGAUUAUCUUACUCCUGUCAGCUCGAGCUUCGUCUCCCCUACACUGACAUUGCUGCCCCCGUCUCGCACGGAGCUGUCUGAGGGCAGAGCCACCCUCGUGUGCCUGGCCCGGGGCUUCUACCCCGACUCCUUGACCGUGUCCUGGACGGAGGACGGCAGCGCUGUAGCGGGAAGUGAGGUCCGGACGAGCGAGGCUCAACGCCAGUCUGACGGGACCUACUCCAGCAGCAGUCUGCUGACGCUGACGGCCGCCCGGUGGGCUCCAGCCACUCCUUCUCCUGUCAGCUGAGCCACCCAGCGCUGACGACCCCACUGAGCCGGGCUCUGACCCAGCCACAGUGUGACAGGCAAUAAGCUUCUUAUUUUAUUAAAUAGCUUCUUACCGCGUUUUAACGCGAGCUUUCAGUAGUUUCCAUUUAGCAUUUCUGAUACAUCUAGCUUGCUUCUAAUAUUGGAUAACUUUACCCAAGAAUAUAAGAAUGUUUGGUCUCUGUUUGGUGAAUGUUGAAUAAACCUUGUAUCAUGCAACUGAUGCAAGUUUUAAAACGUGUGCGUUGUGGCGACCCUUUGUGGUGUGUUUGAAAAAUUGCAAAUAAAUCAUUAAAAAACAAA